rnacentral:rRNA from 1 species
AACGAACGCUGGCGGCAUGCCUAACACAUGCCAGUAGAACGAGACCUUCGGGUCUAGUUGCUCACGCGUGCGUAACGCGGCGGAACGUGCCCUUAUGUUCCGGAUAACUCCCCUAAAGGGGUGCUAAUACCGGAUAAUUUCUGCUGACCAAAUAUUUAUCGACUUUGUAUGAGCCGGCGUUGUUUUAGCUAGUUGGUAUUGUAAAAGCCUAUGAAGGCUACGCUCGAUAGCGGGGCUGAGAGAAUGAUCAGCGACACUGGGACUGAGACACGGCCCAGACUAUUGCGGGAGGCGCGAGUGGGGAAUCUUGCAAAAUGGGCUAAGGGAUGAACCAGUAAUGCUGGGUGAGCGACGAAGGUGUGAGGGUUGUACAGCUCUUUUAUACGCGACGAUACUGACAGUACCGGGAGAAUAAGCACCGGCUAACUUCGUG